UAGUGGCGGAUUGGUGAGUAACGCGUGAGGAACCUGCCUUUCAGAGGGGGACAACAGUUGGAAACGACUGCUAAUACCGCAUGAAGCAGCGAGGGGACAUCCCCUUGCUGUCAAAGAUUUAUCGCUGAAAGAUGGCCUCGCGUCUGAUUAGCUAGUUGGUGGGGUAACGGCCCACCAAGGCGACGAUCAGUAGCCGGACUGAGAGGUUGACCGGCCACAUUGGGACUGAGAUACGGCCCAGACUCUUACAGGAGGCAGCAGUGGGGAAUAUUGGGCAAUGGACGCAAGUCUGACCGAGCAACGCCGCGUGAAGGAAGAAGGCUUUCGGGUUGUAAACUUCUUUUAACAGGGAAGAGAAGAAGGCGGUACCUGUUGAAUAAGCCACGGCUAACUACGUGCCAGCAGCCGCGGUAAUACGUAGGUGGCAAGCGUUGUCCGGAUUUUCUGGGUGUAAAGGGCGUGUAGCCGGGAAGGCAAGUCAGAUGUGAAAUUUGGAGGCUCAACCUCCAAACUGCAUUUGAAACUGCUUUUCUUGAGUAUCGGAGAGGUAAUCGGAAUUCCUUGUGUAGCGGUGAAAUGGGUAGAUAUAAGGAAGAACACCAGUGGCGAAGGCGGAUUACUGGACGACAACUGACGGUGAGGCGCGAAAGCGUGGGGAGCAAACAGGAUUAGAUACCCUGGUAGUCCACGCUGUAAACGAUCAAU
rnacentral:rRNA from 1 species